AAGGGGAUGGGGAUGCAGGGUCUCAUUCUCCGCCCAGAUCUCAGCCGAAGAGGGGUCCGCUGCAGGCGGACGGACCAAGGCACCUCCGCGCCCUGCGAUAAUGACCCUUCUCCGUCUGAUCUCUGGCGUCCAGCAUCCUUCCACUGCAUUCCCCUCUGACGUCCCUGUUUCUCAUGCUCGAACCCUGCCCUUCAUUCCUCACCAAGAUCAUCCUCCCCAUCCACUGCCCUGUCCUGACUCCCCUCUGAAACGGGGACGCAAGCCGCAGCCUCCCUUCGGGGGUCCCUUUGCUCUCCCCCGUUAAAUUGGAGGAAACUGAGGCACAAAAGAGGAGCGCAUCAUCCUUCACCUGUAGGCGAGGAAGAUGGAAACGGAACUCAGGACAUUGAGGGUUAAGUGACUUGCCCGGGGUCACACAGUUGUCAUUCAAGAUGAAGACUAAUAAUAAUCAAUCGCCUCGGACACCUCCCUCUCUAUCACUUCAACAACUGAACUCUUAUGAAGUACCAACUCAGUCUGUGCAAGGCAGUAUGCUAGGGGAUGGUGAUGCGAAG